UGGGGGGUCGUCCAACUGGCAGUGACGCCGGGUUUUGGUCCCGGAGAUCGGGGUUCGAGUCCCUGCCCCCCAG
rnacentral:tRNA from 1 species